GUCCAGUCCUGAUCUGACAGGGACCAGUGCUGUUUCAGCUAACUGCCUCAGUUUCCACUCUGCCAAAUGAAGAUAAACAGGAAUAUUGGUGCUGGCUGGAGGAGAGAGAGCAGGUGGAAAAGGGUGAAGGGUGCCUUUCUCUAGACACAGAUCUUCAGGGAGGAAAGCAAAUAAAGACACAGCUGGAUCCAUUCAUUCAUCUUGUGAGAGGCAAGGGAAAAAGAAUGGAAAAUUCAUAUUUCUCCUGAAGCACACAUUUAAAUCAAGCAAGUACCUGAAUGGAGGUGGUUCAUUUCAGCCAGAGGAUCUGACUUUUCCACUCAUUGGAGAGGGGAGCAGGACAGAUAUCCAACAAGGGAGUCACUAAAGAUCACUCCAGGCUGCACAAAGAAAGUUACCCAACUGUGGGUGACGGAAACCUUCAGCUUUGCCAACAUUAGCUGAAAUUCCACAGUGAACAAUGCAAGGCACCCUCCAGCCUCAGAGCCUGCAGUGGCCCCUAGGGGAUGCUUCAGUGACACAGAACCUGCUGAUGGUGCUCUGUGGAUGGCCCUGAACUACCCCAUCACUUACCAACGAAAUGUUCAGGCAGCACCGAGGAGAACCAUGUAAGAGCUCAGCACAUUUGCAUGGGGUGAUGACAGCUCUGGAGUGUGUGAGAAAUCCUCUCCUCCUGGGACAUUUCCCUCAUGGGGUGCCACUCUCAGGCAGGAGGAAAGCAAACAGCAGACCUGGAGGGUUCACUGUGUGGCUUGUGAGCCCAGCACAUGUCCAGGAGUGGGGCCACCAAGAUGCUCAGGACCAACAGCCACCCAAAAACCAGCCCAGGACACCAGGCUGUGGCUGGGGUCAAAGGAGCCACAAAAUAAACACCCUUCCUGAGCUAUCCCAUGUCUUCAAGAUGCAGGAAACUGAUAACCAAAGCAAAUAAAUUCUUCCUGAGAGCUCUUUGAGUCACUUAUGUAUUUGUAGGCAACUGCACAGUAAGGU
rnacentral:lncRNA from 1 species